UUUCCGUAGGUGAACCUGCGGAAGGAUCAUUACAGAGUACAUGCCCUCACGGGUAGAUCUCCCACCCUUGAAUAUUUAUACCUUAGUUGCUUUGGCAGGCCGUGGAAACACCAUGGGCUCCGGCUUAUGCGUGCCUGCCAGAGGAAACAAACUCUGUUUUUAGUGAUGUCUGAGUACUAUAUAAUAGUUAAAACUUUCAACAACGGAUCUCUUGGUUCUG
rnacentral:misc_RNA from 1 species